AUUAAUUCAAACGCUUUUAAAGAUAAAAAAUCAAUUUGUAAAAAAAAUGGUGAAGCUGAGACUAUUUGUUAGUAAUUUUUAUCAUAAUAACAGUGGACACCGAAAGUUAUAUUUUAUUUUUGUUAUACAACUCUACGAAAAUUCCAUAUGGCAACUUUCAAACAUUUAAUAAAAAAGCAAAUAUACUGUUAGAUGUAAAAUUUCAAAUUUUUUAAUAUUUAUUAAAUAUUAAUAACAUACGAGAAAUUGUAUGGAAAUAGACAGAUAGACGGAUAGUGACUCUAACCGUGGAAAAAACAACAAGAGCUGCUGAAGAGAAUAUUAAGGCGUAAAAGCUGCCUCUAUGCCUGAAUUUAGUAUCCCCGCAAAACUAAUACAACUGUGUAAACUGACAUUGAGCAGCACCAAAAGCGCCGCCAGAAUCAGGAAGAACCUCUCUGAGCCAUUCGAUACCAAACGACGUUUCAGACAAGGUGACUCACUAUCGUGCGACUUCUUUAACCUAAUGGUGGAGAAAAUAAUACGAGCUGCUGAGCUAAACAGAGAAGUUACGCAGAUGAAACAAACGCGCCGAUUGUUCUGCUUUUUCCAGACUGGUUAAGGGAGCGAAGAUUAUUGGUUUGGUGGUGAAUGAAGACAAGACGAAAUAUCUGCUGUUAUCAAACAAACAGUCAGACAAUAAUAAUAAUCCAACGCUGAAUCUCUCUUGCCAACAGGUGCUACUUUAGACGAAGUAGGCAAUUGAAAAUGCAGAAGUGUAGACAAUAUCAACAUCCGAUGAGACAACACUCGGAGUUUUCGAGAAAACGGUUUUUUGCGGAAGAUUUAUGGUCCUUUGAACGAGUUAUUCGACCACAUAGACAUAUGUAGUCCAGCGAAUAGAAAGACAGCGGCUGGGUUGGCUAGGUCAAGUUUUUCGAAUA